UACACUCCUGCGGGAGGCAGCAGUGGGGAAUUUUGGACAAUGGGCGAAAGCCUGAUCCAGCAAUGCCGCGUGCAGGAUGAAGGCCUUCGGGUUGUAAACUGCUUUUGUACGGAACGAAAAAGCUCCUUCUAAUACAGGGGGCCCAUGACGGUACCGUAAGAAUAAGCACCGGCUAACUACGUGCCAGCAGCCGCGGUAAUACGUAGGGUGCGAGCGUUAAUCGGAAUUACUGGGCGUAAAGCGUGCGCAGGCGGUUAUGUAAGACAGAUGUGAAAUCCCCGGGCUCAACCUGGGAACUGCAUUUGUGACUGCAUGGCUAGAGUACGGUAGAGGGGGAUGGAAUUCCGCGUGUAGCAGUGAAAUGCGUAGAUAUGCGGAGGAACACCGAUGGCGAAGGCAAUCCCCUGGACCUGUACUGACGCUCAUGCACGAAAGCGUGGGGAGCAAACAGGAUUAGAAACCCUAGUAGUCCCAUGA
rnacentral:rRNA from 1 species